CAGUGGCGAAGGCGGCUCACUGGACUGGUAUUGACGCUGAGGUGCGAAAGCGUGGGAGCAAACAGGAUUAGAUANCCUGGUAGUCCACNCCGUAAACGAUGAUAACUAGCUGUCCGGGCACUUGGUGCUUGGGUGGCGCAGCUAACGCAUUAAGUUAUCCGCCUGGGGAGUACGGUCGCAAGAUUAAAACUCAAAGGAAUUGACGGGGGCCUGCACAAGCGGUGGAGCAUGUGGUUUAAUUNGAAGCAACGCGCAGAACCUUACCAGCGUUUGACAUGUCCGGACGCUUUCCAGAGAUGGAUCUCUUCCCUUCGGGGACUGGAACACAGGUGCUGCAUGGCUGUCGUCAGCUCGUGUCGUGAGAUGUUGGGUUAAGUCCCGCAACGAGCGCAACCCUCGCCUUUAGUUACCAUCAUUUAGUUGGGUACUCUAAAGGAACCGCCGGUGAUAAGCCGGAGGAAGGUGGGGAUGACGUCAAGUCCUCAUGGCCCUUACGCGCUGGGCUACACACGUGCUACAAUGGCAACUACAGUGGGCAGCAAUCCCGCGAGGGUGAGCUAAUCUCCAAAAGUUGUCUCAGUUCGGAUUGUUCUCUGCAACUCGAGAGCNUGAAGGCGGAAU
rnacentral:rRNA from 1 species